UCUUAACUGCCCAAACUCGACUGAGUUGUUAGUUUAAACACCAACCUGUAUACACAGUCAGGCAUGCAUUAUUAGCUAAAAAAAUACAUUGAAUUCGAUUGAUAGCUAAGGCGCUGUUGAUGUCUACCGCUGUCGAAACCUUCUGUUCCUACGAAUAGAAUGGGAAGUUCAGUCUAAGGCUCUGGGGUAAACUGAAGUUUGAGCAACGAGGAAACAUUUAAGCGACUGAACGAGAUAGAAUUCUCGUUGAUGACCGACAAAUUACUUGAGAAGCUUUGAAAAUGAUAGUCUUCGGUAAUGGUUUCUGGUAGCGCACGUGGAAAGCAGGCAGACAAAAGAACUUCAAGGUUUUAAAGAACCUUGGGAGCUUUGCCGAGCUGUUUCAUGGUAAUAAAUAUAAAAAAUGGAGAAUGUAUAAUUAAGAAGAAACAUUUCUUUGGAAGUUAGAGUUUUAUUGCAUUUUCCAGAACACUACAAUCCUUGCGGCAGUAUAUCGAUCCGUACGUCAGUUAUAAACAAGGAGAUUAUAUUAUAAAGCGGUUUUGUAGUUUUCGUAAGGUUUUCCUAAAGCUCAAGAGAGCUUCCUUAGAUAGUGAGACCAUAGAAGAAAGAUGGUCACCUGAGUAAUCCUUGAGUUAGCCAUCUGAGAUGAAAUAACCUAGCGUGAUUAAGCUUAGGACAUUGCAUCGGUGAAAGAUUAUCUUCUUUUAAUUUAAUAGUCGGUGUCGAUCCCAAGUAUUAGUUGUUAGGAACAUACAGCUCAAGUCUAAAAAAAAUUCUGCACUCUUUUGGACUGUUUGCCAUGAUUUGAUUUCAUAAGAGUCUAAAGCUUCGCAGAAAAACCUUAUCAACGUUUGCUUUCACCCAUUCAAGCCAAAUCAACUCGCCUUGUUUACAAUUAUAUUACAACUGUUGAAAUGUAAGGACGACGAAAGUGAAUCAAAUUUUUCUCACCGUAGUAAGGAUAUAUUUUCUUGAAAUGGUUAUCAGGAGUAAAACAAAUUCGCCAGCUUCUCGGUAGAGUUUUGGCUCAGUUUGGAUGAGCCAUUGCUGGAUUCACUGCACAAAGAGAAAAACCUCUGUGACCUGGGCAGAUGAAAAAACUAAAUAAAUCGUUUGUGCGAGAGUAUAAAGUACUUUAAACUCAGUUGUUUUCUGUCGAGUUAACCCCUCAUAUACAAACACUGAAAGGUGAAACAGUUGACUCAAAUUUCCUUUCGAUAAAUAGCAAGAAAAAUAUUUUCUCGCUUCAAGAGUGGGACAGCACAUAUUUUUAGUUUGCUUUUCGUGGGUCUUAGGAGAUUAAGUAGGAUUAUGUCUUAGGUGGGUAGCACGAAGUUCUGUUCAUUUUCGAACAGACAACAGUGCUAGAAAUUACGGUAAAACUUUCUUCAUUGCUGAAGGUAAGAUGCAAAACUAUCGAUGACAUAUUAGGAUUUUUUCUUUUUUAAUACUUAAAAGGAAAAACCACGAAUUUUAUUCACAUCUUCCUGUAGAGUGACUGACAGAGGUUUUAGACAACAGUUAUAGAGACGCACCACAAAAUACUGCAAGGGCCAAAAGGAAUUAACAACAGAUGUCUCAUAAAAAUUGAACAUAAAACUCUUUGACAGCUUUUGACGAGGCAUCAUCAGCAUUAAAGGCGCCAUAGAAACUGAAUGUUUUCACUACUAGUAAAUUUAGAUUUGUUCUGUGUAUUUUCCUUGAGAAAAUUCAAUGAUAAAGCUAACUGAGCUUAACUUAAUGUAAAGUGUAUUUCCAUUCAUCUUUUGCCAUUCAUGUCCUCUAGAAAUGAGCUGCUAAGCAUAUUUAUUGAAAUUCUUGUAAUUGUAUCCUUCUCUUUACGAGGUCCCACUUUCUGGUAGUUCAUAUAAGUCUUGUAGAAACCAGGAGCAUAAUACAACGUCGAUAAGUGAGGGAGAACUUUCCUGUAAGUCAUAAAGUUGAAAAUGAUGAUAGCAUUUUGAAAAUGGUUUUCAACACACUGAAAUGCAAAGAUUUGGUUAUGUUGUUUGUUCUCAGGGCAGUUAUGUUCGCUGGAAACACCAACCAAGUAAGGUCAGUUAGAAAAUCGACGAGCAAACAUGUUAUCAAAUUCAACGAAUUUCUAGCUUCCAGAAAUUAGAAAUAAUUUACAGAAUUUGAGAUGAAGAUGCACCUUGUUUAGUGAGAGUCAUCUCUAACAAUUUUCCCUCGUUUGUCUGAGUUUGCUUUGUGUGUGUGUUCGAGUAACAAUAUAUCUUGUGUCGAUGUGUAGACGUUUGAAUGUAAAAUAAGUUAAUAAACAUUGAUAUAUACUAAAAAUUAGGCAAACCGAAUGAGUGAACAAGUAAAAAUUGGUUUAGUUCUGCAAGCUUAUGUUAGAUGCGUCUACGCAAGUUUCUUCUAUGAUUUUUUUAAAGAGUUUUGAAAAUUUCAUGAAUCUCUUGGAAUAAUUGAAUUGACCUAAAGCCAGACAUCAUGAGCAAAAUUUUAAAUUCUAAUAUUAGUCGAAGCGAAGAUUGCUGCUUAAUCUAAAAGAAGCUAAAAUGUUUGUGCUCACAAUGACAACUUUUAAAAUUAAAUGGGGACAUUGCCAAGGGGAGAAGAUUAAUGUAACAAUUUCUUGAGAGUCAGAAUUUUAAACUGUAAACUUUCUUAAACUAAAAAAAGGGAAUAAAAAUACCUCUUUUUAGGAGGCGAGGAUUUUUUUAUAAAAUUCAAACAAAAUAUGUUGCACUUUUCCCUUGGAAGGUCAAACCGCCUCUUACGAGUCUGAUAACUUAUUUUCAUUAUCCUUCAAAAUCAAUAUAUCUAUGUACACAUGAUAUUUUUCUAAAACUGGCGUUUUUAAUAUGUAUGUUUGGUGGAGAGUGAUGAAAAAUUCGUUCUUUAUAAUUGUAUUUUCAAUUAUAAGGCUUAUUUGCUGAGGUGCUAUCCGGGAGAUGUUCAUUUAUGUUUUUCACUCAACUAACUAACACCUGUCCCGAAUCUAAUGGAUGCCAUUUUCCAAGUGUAUUACUUUAAUACCAGCACUAGAUAAGAUUCUGGAGCCUGAUAUUUUCACUCACGUCGUAUAUUUAGACUGCCUUCAAUAAUCAGCUUAACACGAAAUAGAUAAGCUCUUUAGGGUAGUUUCAACGUACCCGGGCGAGAAUUGUUGUCAAAUAGCCUGCAUGGUUGGAAUCAGUUUAUGUUUGCAAAAUAAUUUUCCAUAAUUAUUGUAAACCACGAAGAACAAGACAGAAUAAAUCGUUUCUUAAACCCAAAAAAGCAAAAGUAAGAUCUACAUUUCUUGUCAGCGAAAAGUGCUCUAUUGAUUUCCCUUGUUAUUAGAACUGCUGUACCGGUAGACAUCAAUUGCCAAAUCUCCUUCUCUUGGGAAAAACCAAUUUCCGAACACAAUUAAAAUAGUUUAAACAUUUUAAUAUGCGUCAUAAGCCCAAUUUUAAGGAAAAUAAGCUAUACCCUUACAACGGAAGAACAACAGUUUCAAAUGACAGCAUAAAAACUAAGUUUUCUGAAUAUCCAACAAGGAAAAUAUUAUCUUAAUUCGGCUGGAAGUAUUGAAUAAAAAGUGCAAGUGUCAUUUGAUAGUUGUGGUUGCUCAUUUUUUAAAUGUAAAUUCAUUAACAAGACGUGAAGUAAAACAUUCGUCGAGGGAAUGAGUGAGACUCGUGAAAUCUUAGAGAACCUAUGAGGCUACCUUAAGUGACAUAUGCUUUGAACCAGUGAAUGUAUUUUGCUAUCCAGUUCUUAAGUUUUUUCACAACCUUUUCAGCGGCCAAAAUUGCCGAAUCUUCCCUUCCUGUUCUUUUAACGGGAUGCGUCAAGUGGUCAAGACAGUGAGACCUGAUUUAAAUUUGUACAAAGAUAGUUAAAAUACUUCAGGAACAACCAUAAUCGUUUAAAUUUUCAUAUCUUUACAGAAACUUAUCCACAUAAGAUGGAAAUGUGCAAACUGAUCCUCAGCUUCCCGCCUUUUUACGUGGCUUCCUAUUGUUCCACAAGAAGCCCCUAAAAGGUUUUCUUUUGUUAUACUGAUAAACAUUUCGGCUUAUCUGUUAAAUGUAAACGACUUCUUUGGAACUUAGUAAAAUAAAAGCUUUCAACUCCACUA